CCCUUAGAUGUCCUGGGCCGCACGCGCGCUACACUGAUACGCUCAACGAGCUCCUUGGCCGAAAGGUCCGGGUAAUCUUUGAAAUCGUAUCGUGAUGGGGAUAGAACAUUGCAAUUUUUGUUCUUCAACGAGGAAUGCCUAGUAAGCGCGAGUCAUCAUCUCGCGUUGAUUACGUCCCUGCCCUUUGUACACACCGCCCGUCGCUCCUACCGAUUGAAUGGUUUAGUGAGGACUCCUGAUUGGCGCCGCCGCCCCGGCAACGGAGCAGCGGACUGCCGAAAAGUUGUUCAAACUUGAUCAUUUAGAGGAAGUAAAAGUCGUAACA
rnacentral:rRNA from 1 species